UUCUAGAUUAAUUGGCUAGCUAGCUCCAUAUCUAGAUCUGUGGCUUGUAGUGUGAUUUUUUUGCUAGAUCGAUUGCUAGCUAGCUUCAUUACCUAGAUCCAUGGCUAUGUGAUUCUUUUGGUAGCACAUGCUCAAGCUCUUGGCUAGAUUAGGUUGCCGUGUGAUUUUUUUCCUAGCACAUGGUCAGGUUCUUUUUUUUUUGCGAUACAUGGUCAGGUUCUUGGCUACAUCAAUUAGCUAGCAAGAUCCAUUAUCUAGGUCCGUGGCUCUAUGAUUGUUUGAGUAGCACAUGCUCAAGUUGUUGGCUUGCUUGGUCUAAUUUGACUCUAUAUUAUGGACAUGUACCAGAGAAGAUACGUGACUUGAAGUUGAUAUUUGGCAUGAUGGCAUCGACACUUGAGUGUUGAGCUUUCUAAUUAUCAUUGAUCAUGGAGGAAUACAAACUGACAAAUACAAGAGCCAGGUGAGCAACAGUGUUUUAGCAGUCCAAUUAUGUAGUAGCCUAUACAAGUUCUAUAGAUCAGAAGAAGGUUAUGAAUUUAAUGCUUUGGCAUGUUACUGCUAAUAGGAAAUGCAUACGGUGCCCACGUGAUGGUGCUCACAGGUGCGGUAUUGCAAUGGUCAGCGGCAACAUUACAUGCCGUGUGCAGAUAAAAAAUCUCCAGCACCUAUCAGUUGGUUCCCUCGAGCCCCAGAGAUUAAUUGAGACUAGAGCUAUGAAGUGUUCUCUUUUAUUUCUUGGUCAGAUUGUUGGAUGUCAGCGUCAACUCUCUAGAGAAAUCAACAGUGUCCUAUGUUCAUGUGUUUCUGCAUUUUUGUUCUCACCUUGGCUGGUCCGUAACAAAACUCAAUUCCUAAUGAUGAACACUUAAGCUACACACCACGAAUGUGCUUGUGGAAGAUUCAGUAAUUGCAGAAAAAACUAAGGUCACUGCUUCUUCCUCUUUUUUCUUUGCAACUGAUCAUUUGCAUAUUUUAUUUGUUUUCAUAGUAGAAGAUUGGCUUCGUAUGAGUGAAUUUCUUAAGGUGUCAUGUGUUCUUAUCGGUUUCUCCACCUUUACUUAUUCUGGGGUGUGCCAUGGCGCACCAUCCCGUGAAAUUCGCUCUCAGUAUGACUAAAAAUCAAAUGUUAGACAAUAGCACUAGCAAUAACCGAUAAGAGCAGCAUGGCCGCUGCUGUAGUUUGAUCCCGCCAGGAAAAGGGGUCUCACGGUGAGGACAGGUUCAGUUGUUCAUCAAUUAAUCCCCCACUGGUUUGAGGUGUUCACUGCAUCUACUUGCUCCUAUCGUUUAUUCUUGCCUUAUCAUUGGUUCUCUUGGAAUAUGCUCAUAUUGACAGUUUUUCUUCUGUC